rnacentral:lncRNA from 1 species
GCGUGGUAUGGUUUUCCACUUACCUGUUACGUUCUUUUUGUGCAUGUAACCAUUGGGUUUUCCAGAGCAUGGACUUCAAUUCAGUUGUCUUCCUAUUCAGUGGGUCCCUUUUCUCUUGUGGAAGUUCUCAACAAUGAUAAUAUGUUCCACUAGUGUGCAUUGUACGCUGCAGCCAUGAAAGUUUUUACUCUAGAUGCUUAUUUUCUUGGAUGAUCCAAAUGAUGAGAUCCCUGAUUGUUAUGGACACCUGAGAAGUACCCAGACUCAAUAUUCCCAAGGGCUCCUCUACUUCGAAGUUCUUGGUACUUAUCUUCUCUGCUUCUAUUUUCUUAUGUUUAUCAUGACACUUAAUUAUGUUUGGUUAGAUGCAUGUUUGUAGAUCACAUGGUGACCGUGAGGGGGAUUGAAUUGGUAAUUUUGAAGUAUGGUUUCGUCCUUCCCUUGUGCACACUAUUUCUUUUUCCAUUUUGGUGCUUGUGCUUGCACUGCAAUUUGGAAAUCACCAGGCACUGGCAGGGGAAUUGUUGGGUCUGGCAUCUCUAGUGAUCUGUUCUAUGUGGUAUGGGUUUGGCUUCUAGCACUUAACCUGUUAACUUCUUUUUGUACUUGUUGUUGUUAGGUCUUUCAAGAUUAGCGAAGUCUCCCUUUCAUGGAGUAGCCUUGUUUCUUGUAGUGUUGAAGUUUCUUAGUUCAGGCAUUGUAUUAGUAUCUAGCUCUUUGAUUCAGUUUUCUUCCCUGGACAUAAAGAGUCCUUUACUUCGUUGUCAAAAGUGUUGUUACAUGGAUGUUUUCAACUACGAUAACUCUUUCCACAAGUGCAUUUUCAGCUUUUAGUCCAGAUGAUUAUGUUUUGCAAUGAUCCAACUGGUGAGGGCCUCUUAUGGGUGUGGAUAUCUGGUAUGUACUCCCUCAGUUCUGGAUCUUUUCACAGCCCAGUAAAAAUGCUCAUCUAUCUUUUGUGUUCUUGCUGCUCAUCUUUGUGGCGUCCAUUUUCUUUUUGCUUAUCACAUCAGUUUGAGUUUUGUGUGUUGGAAGGAUGUAUAUACCCUACAUCGUGAACUGUAUUGGAGGAUUAGAGUUGGAAAUUUUAAAGGUUAGUGUUCAGUAUGCUGGUUAUUUAGGUGCUUCCACUGCAAUCUUGAUAUCGUUUUAGGCCUUCGAGAAAAAGGGGGUUUCGAAAUAUUAAUGAUUUGGAAAUUUUAAAGGUAGUUCAAUAAGCUGGUCGUUUAGGUGCUUGCACUGCAAUCUGGAUAUCUUUUUAGUGCUUCGAGAAAAAGGGCAUUUCUAAAUAUUAUCUACGUCAUUUCUCAUGAUUUCCCAAGCAGUUUGCGGUGGCCAGCUUUUCACUUAACUGGUCCUUCUUUCUGUGCUUGCAGUUGUGGUUUUAAAGAUUUAAUUUCUUCUUUUUGUGGGGCAGCCUUUGUUUGUUGAUUUAUGUUGAGGUUUCAUUUGGUUCAAGCUCCUGUGAGUGUCUGGUAUUCAGUUCAGUGUUCUCUUCUCUAAUCAGUAUGAUAUUUUCUGAACCACUCUCUAUUCAAAGUGGUGCUCUUCUAGCAGUUAGUUUAACUGAAAAUUUUGCAUGUCAAUGGUGGUUACAGUACAUAGUCAUUUUCAUUCAAUUUCUGGUUCAUUAUUGGGUGCAGUAUCUACAAGCCAUAAUCACUACUAUUUUCAGACUAAUUGUUGUUAGGUAAAUAAAGCGCUCUUUUUUAUUUUUGGAGAUCUCUCCCCUAUCUUCUUCUUUUUUCCUUGAAACAUGUGUAUUAUUUUCAGAUAUCCAAUCAUUUGACAAGUUGCUUCAGACUGUAAGCUAUUAUGUAUAACUUUAAUAUAAAAAGAGAGCUCCUGCACACUUUUUUCCUUGAUAAACACCAUUUGAACUGUCUUUGCAAUUCAUUGAGUCUAGAACAGAUCAAGUGAAAAACUUGCUCAUCUUUGUAUGACAGGUCAUGUACACUCUUUAUGUAUUUAUAUAUAUCACAAAGAUAUUCUUUUUUCUGCGUAAAAGAUCUUCCUUGCCAUUACGUAUUAGAUCAUUGUGCAAGUUAGCACCCUGUUUCUUGGCCAUGUUGGUGCUUGCACUACAAUCUGGAGAUUAUCAGGCUUCGAAUGAAGGCGGUUCCCAAUCUUGUCUGGAAUUUCUAAUGAAUUACCAGGUUGUACCUAGUUCACUAGCAUUGCACUUACUGUUCCAUUCCUUAUGUGCUUGCAGCCGCUGGGUCUUUUUUUGUUUAUGCUCCGCCUUGUUCCGCCCAACAUGAACCCGCCCCACAUAAACGAACCCUGCGUAAUUUUUGUUUAAAAGUAAUGUAACAAUUAUCAAUCUACUGUUAAUAUUGAAAUAAUAUAUGUGUCUUCAUUUCUAAGACAAAUUGUAGAAUAUAUAGUCAUUAACUGAACUAACUUUUAAGUCGUCUUCCAUCUUUGCCAUUUCUUUUAUACAUAGAGUUUAAUAAUUGUGUAUAAUUAUUCAAGAGUUAUUUAAGUUUGCUGAACCAGGGAGGAAUGCAUCUUAUUUCUUAUUUUUCUCUCUAAUGUAUACGUACAAAUCCUUAAUUAUCAUCAAUUCACUGCUUUAGCCUCUAGUUUGUACAUAGAGCCAUGUUUUAGGAUCAAAUAUCAGCAAAUAGACAUGUAUGUAAAUAGUGAAAUUAAUAAUUAACUAUGAGUUAAUGAUACUUAUGACAUACAUUAAAACAAAUGAUUCCUCUAGAAAAAUCAAAACUUUCUUUGAACUAGACUUUGUUAGAUAUGCCAGUUGCCUCCUCUGUUUCACUGAAACUCUCAACACAUCUACCCUUAAUUUAUGUUUCAAAAGAAACAUCCCCAACCCGCGUACCGCCCCGCCCCAUAUGUUUCUUUUCAAAAAUAUUUUGUACUUGCCCCGCAAAAGCUCUAACCCGCCCCGCCCCGCAAAUACUAUUACCUCCCCCCCCUUCAACCUCUCUGCCCCAUUGCCAUCCCUAUUGAUGUUUCUAAUGAUUACUGAGAUCUUCAAUUCAGUUUUCUUCCCUAAUCAGAAUGGUUCCCUUCUCUCUUGUCUACACUGCCUUACUAGUGUGUAUUUUGUAGCCAUAUUUAUAUUUUAAUAAACCAGAUGCUUAUGUUCUUUGGUGAUCCAACUGAUGAGAUCUCCAUGGUUAUGGACAACACAUGAUAAGUGUAUUCGAACUCAAUCGUGGAUCUUUUGAUUGCCCUGUAAGGCAUUCCUCUACUUUUUGUGUUCUCGCUACUUCGCUUUUCUUAUUUCGCUUAGCCAACCAAUUGAUUUAGUUUGGUUGGAUGAAUGUUUGUAGGCCACAUGGUGGGAGUAAGAGGAUAAGAUUACGAUAUUUUGUUGUUGUUUUUUCGGUGUGCAUUCUUGUGGACCAUGUUUCUUACCAUUUUGGUGAUUGCACUACAAUCUAGGUAUUGGAUAUCACCAGGCAUCAACAACAGGGAACUUUGCAAUCUUAUCUUGUUUGGCAUCUCGAGUGAUCUCUCCUGCGUGGUAUGGUUUCCACUUACCAGUUACGUUUAUUUUGUGCAUGUAACUGUUGGGUCUUCCAGAACAUGGACUUCAAUUCAAUUGUCUUUCUAAUCAGUGGGUCCCUUUUCUCUGUCUAAAUUACCGUGGAAGUUCUCAACAAUGAUAAUAUUUCCACUAGUGUGUGUUGUACUCUGCAGCCAUAAAGUUUUUAGUCUAGAUGCUUAUUUUCUUGGAUGAUCCAAAUGAUGAGAUCCCUGAUUUUUAUAGACACCUAAGAAGUAACCCAAACUCAAUUUUAGAUCUUCUUAUGGCCCUAAGAGCUCCUCUACUUUGGUGUUCUUGUUGCUCUUAUGUUUAUC